rnacentral:lncRNA from 1 species
UGUGCUAAAGGGGCAAACACCAUACAAUAUUGAUGUACUUAAAAGUCAUUUAAUAAUGAUUCUAAUUUUAACAACUCUAUAAGAGAUAAAACUAUUUAAUUGAUGUAAGGAGAUAAUGAUAUUUAUAAUAUUUUUUGAAGCAUAAUGUUAUUUAUACAUCAUAAAGUGAUAAACCUAUUUGUUACAUGUAAACAGAGAAAAUAUGUGUGAAAUUGUCAAGUUUGUUGUUAUGAUUGUCUUUCUUUCUGCAUUUUUUAUUUCAGCGAACAUAGAUUGUAAGCCAGUUUUUAUCUUUUAAAAAUUUGCUUCUUUACUUAUUAUCGAAUAUAUUGUCUCAUUUCAGUUAUAUACUUUUCUUCCGUUUUUCAAUUGCAGCGGUUUAUAGAUGUAACAGAGACGUUGAAUGUCGAAAUAAGUAUUGUCGCAGGCCUCGUGAACCAAGGUGUAUCAGACACAUAUGUACAUGUGUUGAAGUUGAAGAUGUUGGAUUAGAUUAUGUUUCCACAUACUUCAAUAUUUAAUGUAAGACCCAAAAGAGUACACAAAUGUCAUAUAUGCUAGAAUAUCUCUCGGGAGUUGUCAUUUUGAUAUUCAGCUAGUAACCAAUAAUUUAAAGUUUUAUCUUUUUUUUUUUAUCUUUUUUUUUUAAUUUCAAUAAUCUUAUAGUUUGAUCUUGUACUAUAAAUUGAUUGUAUUGAAAUAAGGCAAACAAUAGUUUCAUUUAAAUUGUAUUUUUCUCUUUUUAAUUUUAGAUAUAUCUCCAUGGCCUUUAAUUAAGAUAUCCAGUUUUUUUCCCAAC